UGGGGAAUUUUGGACAAUGGGGGAAACCCUGAUCCAGCCAUCCCGCGUGUAUGAUGAAGGCCUUCGGGUUGUAAAGUACUUUUGGCAGAGAAGAAAAGGUAUCCCCUAAUACGGGAUACUGCUGACGGUAUCUGCAGAAUAAGCACCGGCUAACUACGUGCCAGCAGCCGCGGUAAUACGUAGGGUGCAAGCGUUAAUCGGAAUUACUGGGCGUAAAGCGUGUGUAGGCGGUUCGGAAAGAAAGAUGUGAAAUCCCAGGGCUCAACCUUGGAACUGCAUUUUUAACUGCCGAGCUAGAGUAUGUCAGAGGGGGGUAGAAUUCCACGUGUAGCAGUGAAAUGCGUAGAUAUGUGGAGGAAUACCGAUGGCGAAGGCAGCCCCCUGGGAUAAUACUGACGCU
rnacentral:rRNA from 1 species